rnacentral:rRNA from 1 species
UACAUAGGGUGCAAGCGUUGUCCGGAAUUAUUGGGCGUAAAGAGCUCGUAGGCGGUUUGUCGCGUCUGCUGUGAAAACUCAGGGCUUAACCCUGAGCUUGCAGUGGGUACGGGCAGACUAGAGUGCGGUAGGGGAGACUGGAAUUCCUGGUGUAGCGGUGAAAUGCGCAGAUAUCAGGAGGAACACCGGUGGCGAAGGCGGGUCUCUGGGCCGUAACUGACGCUGAGGAGCGAAAGCAAGGGGAGCGAACAGG